CCUACGGGAGGCAGCAGUGAGGAAUAUUGGUCAAUGGACGAGAGUCUGAACCAGCCAAGUAGCGUGAAGGAUGACUGCCCUAUGGGUUGUAAACUUCUUUUAUAUGGGAAUAAAAUGUUCCACGUGUGGGAUUUUGUAUGUACCAUAUGAAUAAGGAUCGGCUAACUCCGUGCCAGCAGCCGCGGUAAUACGGAGUGUCCGAGCGUUAUCCGGAUUUAUUGGGUUUAAAGGGAGCGUAGGUGGAUUGUUAAGUCAGGUGUGAAAGUUUGCGGCUCAACCGUAAAAUUGCAGUUGAAACUGGCAGUCUUGAGUACAGUAGAGGUGGGCGGAAUUCGUGGUGUAGCGGUGAAAUGCUUAGAUAUCACGAAGAACUCCGAUUGCGAAGGCAGUUCACUGGACUGCAACUGACACUGAGGCUCGAAAGUGUGGGUAUCAAACAGGAUUAGAUACCCCUGUAGUC
rnacentral:rRNA from 1 species